rnacentral:rRNA from 1 species
AACGAACGCUGGCGGCAUGCCUAACACAUGCAAGUCGAACGAGACCUUCGGGUCUAGUGGCGCACGGGUGCGUAACGCGUGGGAACCUGCCCUUAGGUUCGGAAUAACUCCCCGAAAGGGGUGCUAACACCGGAUAAUUUCUCCGAACAAAAGAUUUAUCGCUCUUGGAUGGGCCCGCGUUGGAUUAGCUAGUUGGUAGGGUAAAAGCCUACCAAGGCGACGAUCCAUAGCUGGUCUGAGAGGAUGAUCAGCCACACUGGGACUGAGACACGGCCCAGACUCCUACGGGAGGCAGCAGUGGGGAAUAUUGGACAAUGGGCGAAAGCCUGAUCCAGCAAUGCCGCGUGAGUGAUGAAGGCCUUAGGGUUGUAAAGCUCUUUUACCCGGGAUGAUAAUGACAGUACCGGGAGAAUAAGCUCCGGCUAACUCCGUG